AGUGAACGCUGGCGGUAGGCCUAACACAUGCAAGUCGAACGGCAGCACAGUAAGAGCUUGCUCUUACGGGUGGCGAGUGGCGGACGGGUGAGGAAUACAUCGGAAUCUACUUUUUCGUGGGGGAUAACGUAGGGAAACUUACGCUAAUACCGCAUACGACCUACGGGUGAAAGCAGGGGAUCUUCGGACCUUGCGCGAUUGAAUGAGCCGAUGUCGGAUUAGCUAGUUGGCGGGGUAAAGGCCCACCAAGGCGACGAUCCGUAGCUGGUCUGAGAGGAUGAUCAGCCACACUGGAGCUGAGACACGGUCCAUACUACUACGGGAGGCAGCAGUGGGGAAUAUUGGACAAUGGGCGCAAGCCUGAUCCAGCCAUACCGCGUGGGUGAAGAAGGCCUUCGGGUUGUAAAGCCCUUUUGUUGGGAAAGAAAAGCAGCAGGUUAAUACCCCGCUGUUCUGACGGUACCCAAAGAAUAAGCACCGGCUAACUUCGUG
rnacentral:rRNA from 1 species